rnacentral:rRNA from 1 species
AGUCCGCACGGUAAACGAUGGAUGCCCGCCGUCGGCAUAUGACGUCGGCGCCCAAGCGAAAGCGUUAAGCAUCCCACCUGGGGAGUACGCCGGCAACGGUGAAACUCAAAGGAAUUGACGGGGGCCCGCACAAGCGGAGGAACAUGUGGUUUAAUUCGAUGAUACGCGAGGAACCUUACCCGGGCUUGAACUGCAGGAGAACGAUUCAGAGAUGAUGAGGUCCUUCGGGGCUCCUGUGGAGGUGCUGCAUGGUUGUCGUCAGCUCGUGCCGUGAGGUGUCGGCUUAAGUGCCAUAACGAGCGCAACCCCUCUCGCCAGUUGCCAUCGGGUGAUGCCGGGCACUCUGGCGACACUGCCGCCGCAAGGUGUGAGGAGGGUGGGGAUGACGUCAAAUCAGCACGGCCCUUACGUCCGGGGCUACACACGUGUUACAAUGGGGCAUACAGAGAGUAGGCCAUGCGCAAGUAUGACCGGAUCAAGAAAGUGCCCCUCAGUUCGGACUGGGGUCUGCAACCCGACCCCACGAAGCUGGAUUCGCUAGUAAUCGCGCAUCAGCCAUGGCGCGGUGAAUACGUUCCCGGGCCUUGUACACACCGCCCGUCAAGCCAUGAAAGCCGGGGGCGCCUGAAGUCCGUGACCGCGAGGGUCGGCCUAGGGUGAAACCGGUGACUGGGGCUAAGUCGUAACAAGGUAGC